CUAUGCUUAGGCGUAAACACAAAAAAUUCAUAACAAAAUUAUUCGCCAGAGAACUACUAGCAACAGCUUAAAACUCAAAGGACUUGGCGGUGCUUCACAACCAUCUAGAGGAGCCUGUUCUAUAAUCGAUAAUCCCCGAUAAACCUCACCACUUCUUGCUAAUCCAGCUUAUAUACCGCCAUCUU
rnacentral:rRNA from 1 species